rnacentral:rRNA from 1 species
GACGAACGCUGGCGGCGUGCUUAACACAUGCAAGUCGAACGGAAAGGCCCUGCUUUUGUGGGGUGCUCGAGUGGCGAACGGGUGAGUAACACGUGAGUAACCUGCCCUUGGCUUUGGGAUAACUUCAGGAAACUGGGGCUAAUACCGGAUAGGAGCUCCUGCUGCAUGGUGGGGGUUGGAAAGUUUCGGCGGUUGGGGAUGGACUCGCGGCUUAUCAGCUUGUUGGUGGGGUAGUGGCUUACCAAGGCUUUGACGGGUAGCCGGCCUGAGAGGGUGACCGGCCACAUUGGGACUGAGAUACGGCCCAGACUCCUACGGGAGGCAGCAGUGGGGAAUAUUGCACAAUGGGCGGAAGCAUGAUGCAGCAACGCCGCGUGCGGGAUGACGGCCUUCGGGUUGUAAACCGCUUUCGCCUGUGACGAAGCGUGAGUGACGGUAAUGGGUAAAGAAGCACCGGCUAACUACGU